UACGUAGGGUGCAAGCGUUAAUCGGAAUUUCUGGGCGUAAAGCGUGCGCAGGCGGCUUUGCAAGACAGAUGUGAAAUCCCCGGGCUCAACCUGGGAACUGCAUUUGUGACUGCAAGGCUGGAGUACGGCAGAGGGGGAUGGAAUUCCGCGUGUAGCAGUGAAAUGCGUAGAUAUGCGGAGGAACACCGAUGGCGAAGGCAAUCCCCUGGGCCUGUACUGACGCUCAUGCACGAAAGCGUGGGGAGCAAACAGG
rnacentral:rRNA from 1 species